UACAGAGGCCCCAAGCGUUACUGAGAAUCACUGGGUUUAAAGGGUGCGUAGGUGGCGCGUUAAGUCCGUUGUGAAAGCCCUGGGCUCAACCCAGGAACUGCUUCGGAUACUGGCGCGCUUGAGGCUAGUAGGGGUCACUGGAACUGACGGUGGAGCGGUGAAAUGCGUAGAUAUCGUCAGGAACGCCAAUGGUGAAGACAGGUGACUGGGCUAGUUCUGACACUGAGGCACGAAAGCGUGGGGAGCCGAACGGG
rnacentral:rRNA from 1 species